rnacentral:rRNA from 1 species
GAUGAACGCUGGCGGCGUGCCUAAUACAUGCAAGUCGAGCGAACAGACGAGGAGCUUGCUCCUCUGACGUUAGCGGCGGACGGGUGAGUAACACGUGGAUAACCUACCUAUAAGACUGGGAUAACUUCGGGAAACCGGAGCUAAUACCGGAUAAUAUAUUGAACCGCAUGGUUCAAUAGUGAAAGACGUUUUGCUUUCACUUAUAGAUGGAUCCGCGCCGCAUUAGCUAGUUGGUAAGGUAACGGCUUACCAAGGCAACGAUGCGUAGCCGACCUGAGAGGGUGAUCGGCCACACUGGAACUGAGACACGGUCCAGACUCCUACGGGAGGCAGCAGUAGGGAAUCUUCCGCAAUGGGCGAAAGCCUGACGGAGCAACGCCGCGUGAGUGAUGAAGGUCUUCGGAUCGUAAAACUCUGUUAUUAGGGAAGAACAAAUGUGUAAGUAACUAUGCACGUCUUGACGGUACCUAAUCAGAAAGCCACGGCUAACUACGUG